AAGUCGAGCGAAUGAUGAGGAAGCUUGCUUUCUCUGAUUUAGCGGCGGACGGGUGAGUAACACGUGGGCAACCUACCUUGUAGUUUGGGAUAACUCCGGGAAACCGGGGCUAAUACCAAAUAAUCUCUUUUACUUCAUGGUGAAAGACUGAAAGACGGUUUUGGCUGUCGCUAUAGGAUGGGCCCGCGGCGCAUUAGCUAGUUGGUGAGGUAACGGCUCACCAAGGCAACGAUGCGUAGCCGACCUGAGAGGGUGAUCGGCCACACUGGGACUGAGACACGGCCCNNNNNNNNNN
rnacentral:ncRNA from 1 species